rnacentral:tmRNA from 1 species
GGGGACGCGUGGGUUCGACAGGGGAAGUAUGUUGCAGGAUUGCAAGCUGAGGUGCCGCUAACCUCAUAAAACAAGUGGCAAAAAUAACUGGCGAACCUGAAUUGGUUUUUGCAGCCUAAUUAAGUAGGUUGCACAUCCACCCUGACCUCCCCUCAAUGGGUUGGGAGUGGGUGCCGGAAAGUUGAGGUGCCACCAUCUGGAUGUCGAUAAAGAUGGUGAAAGAGUUAUCGACUGGCUUGGCUAAACUCGGUCAGCAGAGGCUAGCCAGGUAAGAUUAAAUAGCUGACUAAGCUUGUAGUAUAUUCUGGGCAGCUUCUUUUGGACGGGGAGUUCGACUCUCCCCCGUCUCCACCA